AUGUUCAGAUUAGAACAAUGAAAAACUCAUUUUAGUAGCUGUCUAGGUGCUUGUACUCAACUAAAUGAAAGUUAAAAAAUGGACAAAACUGAGGAAAGAUUAACUGGGACACUUCUUGAACAUGGUAACAGAGAUGCCUAUCCUAUGAUGGACAGGAGAAUCUACAAAUUAGAUGGCUAAACGAAAAUAUGGAGAGGAGAGGCUAAACGGAAGCAAGGGAGGAAAACGAUAUGCAUAAAGCCAGUGAUGUUGUUAAUGAGCAUAUGAUGCUAUAAAUACAGUGACAGCAUUGUUUUACAAGAAAUUAAAGAGGGAGGUAAUGAAAUCCAAACAACAGGAAACAGAAUUAAUUGACUAGCAGAUAAGCAACAAAAACACUUCUAGAAUAAGAUAACACAUGAAAUCUAGGAUAAAACAAGCUUAAUGAGGAACAUCACUUUUCCUCAUUCCUAAGAUCUGUAGAUGCAUGCCUUUCAGUCAUAGAGGCAUACAUGUGCAAGGAUCAUCCAGUGCUUCAGCAAUUUCAUGGAACAGAGACUACAGAGUGCAGCAGCGAGCUACUAACAAGCUCAUUUAACCAUUGGGUAGCCUAUGAUUGGAUAGUAGUUCUUGGGCACAUCUAACAAUAAAAAGGCUCGAGUAAGGUCAAAUCCCUAUCUCAAUCACAGUUUCCGGAACUUGCAAGUAAAACAGGUUUGUCUACAAAUCCAAAAAUAUUCGCUCAAUGAGAAUACUAUACUUAGGGGACCAGUGCAUGACAACCUAGGUUCGGUUUCACAAGCUCAUUUCAGGCACUAGCUACAUUUGCAUUCACAUUGUCAUCACAAAGUAACAUCAAAAAAUCAUGAAAGCAGUAGUUGGAUGCAUCCAACAAUAGAAAGGCCUGCUUCGCUUGAAAUCCUUCUCUCAUCACUCAGAUUGUGAAAAUUACAGAAAAACAAGUUUUUUUGGAAAGCAGAUAAAUAUUCUCUUGACAAGAAUAUUGGGAUUUCUACAACAUGCUUAAUGGAAAAUAUAAACCAUUGCUACAGUCCAUUUGCAUAUUCGAAGAAAACAACAACUUGAGCAUCUCAUAUAAUGAUUUGAAAAUGCCAACUCGAGAAUCAAAAGGUUGCCAUGCAUAGCAACCUCACAAGCUUCCAAACAAAUUAUAAAAAUAUCAGGCAUGUUAUGGUCCAAUAUGCAAUUGACUCACAGCAUGAGACUGAAGAGUAAAUAGCACUGGAUCCACACAUCCAUUCAUACAUAGUAAAUAGAAAUAAUGUUUAAACAC